AUUGAACGCUGGCGGCGUGCCUUACACAUGCAAGUCGAACGGUAACAGGUCUUCGGAUGCUGACGAGUGGCGAACGGGUGAGUAAUACAUCGGAACGUGCCUAGUAGUGGGGGAUAACUACUCGAAAGAGUGGCUAAUACCGCAUGAGAUCUACGGAUGAAAGCAGGGGAUCGCAAGACCUUGUGCUACUAGAGCGGCCGAUGGCAGAUUAGGUAGUUGGUGGGAUAAAAGCUUACCAAGCCGACGAUCUGUAGCUGGUCUGAGAGGACGAUCAGCCACACUGGGACUGAGGCACGGCCCAGACUCCUACGGGAGGCAGCAGUGGGGAAUUUUGGACAAUGGGCGCAAGCCUGAUCCAGCAAUGCCGCGUGCAGGAUGAAGGCCUUCGGGUUGUAAACUGCUUUUGUACGGAACGAAAAGCCCUGGGUUAAUACCCUGGGGUCAUGACGGUACCGUAAGAAUAAGCACCGGCUAACUACGUGCCAGCCGCCGCGGUAACAC
rnacentral:rRNA from 1 species